GAUGAACGCUGGCGGCGUGCCUAAUACAUGCCAGUCGAGCGAACAGACGAGGAGCUUGCUCCUCUGACGUUAGCGGCGGACGGGUGAGUAACACGUGGAUAACCUACCUAUAAGACUGGGAUAACUUCGGGAAACCGGAGCUAAUACCGGAUAAUAUAUUGAACCGCAUGGUUCAAUAGUGAAAGACGGUUUUGCUGUCACUUAUAGAUGGAUCCGCGCCGCAUUAGCUAGUUGGUAAGGUAACGGCUUACCAAGGCAACGAUGCGUAGCCGACCUGAGAGGGUGAUCGGCCACACUGGAACUGAGACACGGUCCAGACUCCUACGGGAGGCAGCAGUAGGGAAUCUUCCGCAAUGGGCGAAAGCCUGACGGAGCAACGCCGCGUGAGUGAUGAUGGUCUUCGGAUCGUAAAACUCUGUUAUUAGGGAAGAACAAAUGUGUAAGUAACUAUGCACGUCUUGACGGUACCUAAUCAGAAAGACACGGCUAACUACGUG
rnacentral:rRNA from 1 species